GCGAGAGUUUUGCUGAAGGGUGGAUAUGGACAGAUGUCACCUCAUUUCUUCAGCAGGAGGUUCUAGUAAUGGGAACGGAACCAUUUGGACUAUAUUCCUGUGGAAAAAACACUUAGGAGCAUCAAAACUGCAAGUGACUUGAGGAGCGGAUUUCGACUUUGUCGUGGCCUUAAGCCAUAAGAUAUAAGAUAUUUUACUAUUCACCAAAUAAUAAGUAUGAAAUCAAAAGUAGAAGGAAAGAAAGAAAGAAAGAAAAAAAGGGUCAAGAAAAUCGUUAUUCAUCUAUCUAGCGCUCGUUACUCUUACUAAUCUGUCGAGAGAAUUAACACAACCAGACGG